AACGCACAUUGCGCCCUUUGGUAUUCCGAAGGGCAUGCCUGUUCGAGCGUCAUUGCAACCCUCAAGCACUGCUUGGUAUUGGGCCUCGUCCCCGCGACGUGCCCGCAAUUUCGUGGCGGUCCAGUGAGACUUGAAGCGUAGCAAGAUUUAUAUCCCGCUUUGCAAGCCUCUCGCUGCGUGCCGGCCAAACAACCCUUCUAUUUUUCAAUGGUUGACCUCGGAUCAGGUAGGGAUACCCGCUGAACUUAA
rnacentral:misc_RNA from 2 species